rnacentral:rRNA from 1 species
AGUGAACGCUGGCGGCGUGCUUAACACAUGCAAGUCGAACGAGAACGGGUUAUAGCUUGCUAUAAUUGUCAGCUAAGUGGCGCACGGGUGAGUAAUGUAUAGGUAAUAUGCCUCUUACUAAGGGAUAACAAAUGGAAACGUUUGCUAAUACCUUAUACUCCUUUUAAACAGAAGUUUAAAAGGGAAAGAUUUAUUGGUAAGAGAUUAGCCUGUAUUGUAUCAGUUAGUUGGUGGGGUAAUGGCUUACCAAGACUAUGACACAUAACUGGUUUGAGGGGAUGAUCAGUCACACUGGAACUGAGACACGGUCCAGACUCCUACGGGAGGCAGCAGUGGGGAAUAUUGCACAAUGGACGGAAGUCUGAUGCAGCAACGCCGCGUGGAGGAUGACACAUUUCGGUGCGUAAACUCCUUUUAUAUGAGAAGAUAAUGACGGUAUUAUAUGAAUAAGCACCGGCUAACUCCGUG